rnacentral:miRNA from 1 species
UAAACUACGCCCUACUGACAGC